GCUUAUGAGUGGGAUCGAAUCUCCAUGUGCGCCGUGUGCGGAUAGCUUGCUAUGCGUGUGUAGCUGUGUGUGGAUUGAGUCGAGACGUAACUUAUUGCCGUUCGGGACGUUGACGAAAUGGAGCGAUUUGACCCGUCUUGAAACACGGACCAAGGAGUCUAACAUGUGUGCAAGUGUUAGGGUGUGGAAACCCCAGCGCGUAAUGAAAGUAAAGGAUAGCGUAAGUUAUCUUAGGUAGGAAAUGCUGCGGGUUCGUCCUGCGGCGUGGCACUAUCGACCGAUCAUGAACCUUCGUGGUGAAAGAUUUGAGUUUGAGCACAUAUGUUGGUACCCGAAAGAUGGUGAACUAUGCCUGAGUAGGGUGAAGCCAGAGGAAACUCUGGUGGAAGCUCGUAGCGAUUCUGACGUGCAAAUCGAUCGUCAAACUUGGGUAUAGGGGCGAAAGACUAAUCGAACCAUCUAGUAGCUGGUUCCCUCCGAAAUUUCCCUCAGGAUAGCAGCAACUGAUUUACGAUAGUUUUAUGAGGUAAAGCGAAUGAUUAGAGGAUUCGGGGAAGAAAUUUUCUCGACCUAUUCUCAAACUUUAAAUCUGUAAGACCUGCAGGUUUCUUAAUU
rnacentral:rRNA from 1 species